CAAUUUGAUUUCUUAUCUGCUAUAUUGCAUUUGUUCUCCCAAAUGGGUCACCGUGCCUUCUGUGUCAAAAUUUGAAGAUGUAGUUCUGAAAACCAGUGAACAAGGAGAAAUUUGGAGAUGUAGUUCUAAAAACCAGUGAACAAGAAGCACAUGGGAGCCGCUCAAUGCUCUACUAUUGAAAGUUGAGUAGGUGAUUAUGAGAUGAAGACGCUGGAAGAAGUUGGUGUGGUUGUUUGUCAGUAAAACUUAUCUGUAGUCAAGUCAUACCCAGCCCGUUGACCAUCAUCCGAAUGCUUCUGAUAAUAAUCAAGUGUUUUUAUUGAAUAUGUUACAAUCCAUUCUGAAGCAAACUGAGUUACUAGCAGUUUAAGAAGAUGUUAUACACCUGACUGACGAAGAUCUUUUCUAUAUCCACAAGGCAUUUCAUGAUGAUCCAAGUAUAUUGCUGAUCAAAUAGAAAAUAUGUAAUUUUCUGUUUCGGUAAUAAACGGGCAAUUCAACGUAUAGCUGGGGCAGCCUGAUUUCCUCUCACGCAUGCCCGCUAGCAGCAGCAGUUACGACCAGGAGGUUGCGGCCUGACUUGGCGGCUCUUCCUUUUUGUUUUGUGUUUGAAUCAGAUUUGGUGGUCUCGAUUUUACAGGCAUGUGUUGAUCUUGGUCUUGUUCUGUAUGCAGGUAGGGUACACUUGAUGUUUCAUGUUUGGUGAAAGAAAAGGAGCUUCCUAUGUUGAUUUCGGGCAAGACAUACAUUCUGCCAUGCAUUAGUAGAUCAAUUGCUUCUUUGUGUAGGGGAACGAUUAGUGAUUGAAUCUCUCUGUCUCGUUUCUUGAUUAUCCAAUUAAUUUACCCUCAUCUAUGCAUAAAUUGGUCCAAUUGAGUUAUGCCAUUUUUUUAAUAAUCUAUAUUGGUUCUAUAUAUGACUAGAACAAUAUGAUACGAUGCACAUCGGUCCGCUUUAUUGGCAGCUAUCCUUCAAGAUUAAGGGGAGGCACUCUUGUGGACCUGCCCAAUGUUCGAGGAGAUACGGCUGACUAAACAAGUCAAAUCAAGACAAUUUGCAACUUUGGUGUUGUGACAUUGGAGGCCGUGCUCAACAGCAAUGGGGGACUGUUCGUUGAUGCCUGACCCAUGAUGCCGGCGAAGGAAUGAGAGUCGACGAGGAGUGGACACCAUGGGUUCGUGAAUUGGCGAAGCCUCCGUUGUCCGUUUGGUAAUGUCCGACGCAUCAGAGGCAUAGUAUGACUUGUCUCGUUUAUGAUGUCGUCUACAAACAUCCAACGGAGGGGAACCUGUCCCAGUUUCCAUCUUGAUGACUACAAAUAGAGGGAAGUUGGCAUGUGCCUUACUAGAGACAGAUGAACCAAUAAAAUGAUUGGAAAGGUUCUUCCCAAGCAAAAGUUAAGCUGAAUCUUGUACAGUUUACUUCAUAAUAUAUUUUGGUCAGUAUGUUGUUUAUUUUCUGAAAUUGAUACUCCAUUGUAGAUUACCUAUGAUGAAAAUUACAUUCUCUGCGGGCGCUGAUUCUGAUAUAUUACUAUGGGCAAAGGAAGUUCAAAAUUUAUCUCAAUCAAACAUGUGCAAAGGAAAAUCCAAAAUAUGUUAUGUCAGUAAAAGAUUCUUAAAUUAGUGCGUUGCCACGGGCUAACAAAUCCAAAAUAUGUUAUGUCAGUAAAAGAUUCUCAUUUGAAUGAUGUUUUCUGUGUCCUCGGAUCACCAGGACGCCGUCGUCGCCUCGGAUCCCCACACGCCGCCAGCAUGGCCGUGACAAACUGAUGAGCACGCUCCACCCCCAUUCCUGCCACAGAUGAAGAAAAGUAGGCUCAAUCAGGCCAUGAACAGAGUUGAAGAAGGCUCGGGCAGAUGGUGAUACUCUCAAACCAGGAGACCCCAACCCGGUAACCAAGACAUGGAAAAGUGGAGUGCGGCCGUAAAAAAUGCUCAUCAAAUUGCUGGCUCCAUGUUGCCUAUCCACUAUCAUCAUACUUGUCUGCAUCAGAGCGUCUCCGUUGAUGUUGAAUAUGAAACAGUUGCCACUGUCCCACCAGCAGCACCAAAGACGAGCCCAGCAGCAACAUGAUGGAGACCAGCAGUACUUCUUGAUCAGGUAUCUGAAUCAUUGGUCGUCAGUGUUUCCGCGGAAAGCAUGUAGAGGGAGAUGGUUCUGCCGAUAACCGGCACACUGAGGUAGGUGUAGGUCUGGACGCUGGUGCUGUCGGAGGCGCGCCGGUCGAGCUCAGCCAUCACUCAGUCGGGCAGUACUUUGAGCUGUCACAGAAAUAUCAUGAUCAUCUUUUAGCGAAUACAAAGGCUAGGCGGGGCGGUCGAUUUGCAGCGGGGUGGAGUGAGGGAUAUCUCGUUUGGAAGAGCAGGUGGAGUACAAGGUCGUGCCGAGGUCCAAUCACUAGUAGAAAAAGGGUCAAAUGUGAGACACAUUAGUCCCGGUUUGUAACAGAACCGGCACUAAUAUGUCCAUUAGUGCCGGUUCCAACGGCUAGGCGAGAGGAGCUCUUUAGUACCGGUUCGUGGCAAACCUUUAGCACCGGUUCGUGCCACGAACCGGUACUAAAGAAAGUGGUGGCAGGAUGUUGUCAGAGUGGGGCCCUUCCAGCACCUU